AGUCAUGUCCAGGCUGACAGGAGCCCUCGGCCUCCUGAGGACCUGCUGUGAGGCUUCCAGAGGAUGUGAGGCAUAGUCCACAGUGACAGGAGACCCGUGUCCUCAGGACCCACUGACUAUGACCCAAGAACACGUGGGGCCACAUCCACACUCACAGGAUCCUGGCUUCCUCAGGACCCCCUGGAGGACUCUGGAGGUGCCGUUGGGGGCCACAUCCACAUCAGAAGGGACUACUCAGAACCACAGGCUCAGUCACUCCUCAGGAAAUGCAUCUUUAAAGAUCUGGAAACAACUUAGAGGCAUUAAUACCAAUGGUCCUAUUAUUAUGCAACGGAUUCUUCCCUGAGAUUCUUCUGCUAUUUCAACUGACACUGAAAUACUUUGAACUCUCUGGAAGACAAAUGUCAAGGAAAUAAAUGUUAUGCAUUGCUAAUUUUAAAUGCCCUG
rnacentral:lncRNA from 12 species